CAGAGUCUCCCUCUGUCUCCCAGGCUAAAGUGCAGUGGCCCGAUCUCAGUUCACUGCAACCUCCACCUCCCGGGUUCAAGCGAUUCUCCUGCCUCAGCCUCCCAAGUUAAUCUUAAGAUAAUGAAAUCCUCCUCUAGCGACCCUGACGCAAUCAGAUUAGAUGUCUGUCCAUCUGUCUACUGGUAUGUCAUAUUCCAGUAGAAUCAACAUUUAGAAGAACCUCCUUGAGAUCAAAAGAAGUCACAACCACUCCUAGGUCCUGCUGUUGUUCCUGCUGCUGCCCUCAUAUUCUAGUCAGUGUGGACACACAAACAGGCAAGUGGAUACGCAGAAAAACUAGCUGAAGGAAAUAUAAAUGGAGCUGCUACCUUAAUCAUGGUGGUAAAGGAAAUUUAAUGAUCUUACCCUCAAAAUGUAUUUUUUGACAUAUUUUGAAAUGGCUGCCACUUGGCUAGCAAACAAAAGUGGCCCUGCAAAGCUGUCUUUUGUGGGGAAAAUUUGGAUCUGUAGAGAAUUUCCUUCAAUGCAGCCAGGCUGCCUCCCUUUCCUGUGCUUUUCCAGAUCCUGAAGAAACUGGAGAGUCUGACACCUUUAAAGUAUGAAGAGAAACAUUUACCCUCUAUUCUAAGGGAAGCUUCAUCUACAUAACAAGGUCACAUUUGCUAGUCAAGCUUCUUUCUCUCUCUCAUAACCUGUCUUUUCACUAAGCCUGAUUUACCAAUAUAACCAGUUUCUGGCCAUGUUCUGAGUCUGUAUUCUUUACUGUGGCCUCAAGAUGGUAUAUACAUUUCUGUAACUCAUUGGGAAGCUGGUCUUCAUUCUUAAGGCUCCCACGUAUAGAAGUUAAAUAAAUGUUUAUGUCUCUU
rnacentral:lncRNA from 1 species